ACCAGUCCAACUGCAGACAACUUUCUUGGCAUAUAAGAGAGAGUAUUUCAUUGUGUAAACAAAACAUAAUUGUGGUUACAAAUACUGUAUAUAUAACGGACGUAAAAUACGUAAAUAUCGUAGUAUUCGUUUAAAAAUCCUCCGGUUAUGUGUGUGCUAAUAUAAUCGUAUCGAGUUCUUAGAAUACGCUCAUCGCUGAUCCCUAAAAACAUUUCAGUGUUUAUAAAUAAUUAAUGACUAUAAAUUAACUCUUGGAUAAUUUUGGUGAUAGCGACCAAUAUGCAGUCGAAUGUGUGCAUCUUAACUGUCACGACAGUCAUCCUACUUUACGUCACAGUUGCCUACGGCUGCUCCUGUGUACCUACUCACCCCCAAGCGCAGUUUUGUAAUUCACAAUUUGAUAUCUAGGUUUGCAUGGCGAACAAAAGAUGCCAGGAUUUUUUUAAAAUUUUAUUAUCUAUACAGAAGAAGGGUCUCUAAGCGCUCGCACAGCAAAAAUCCAAAGUCUGAUAUGCAAAAUUUAUUUUUUCUAUUUCGAUUUUUAAAUGUUCUUAUUAACGCA